UCUGCUCGUUUGCUGAACCAGCUCGUCCUCAAUCUGCAAUCUUUGAUGAAUGUUGCAUCCUCCCAUGAAGUUUAUGUAUCCAGUUGAUUUGCCCAUUUGAUAAGUAAUCGGAGGGUGCCUCUAUAAAGUCAAAUGCAGUAGUAUCUUUUUUUUUUUCUCUGGCUGUGGUCUGCAUGUCCUCCGUGGAUGAUUGGUAAUAGUGGCGGUUGUUUAAGCUAUUGUCCAUGGAAUUGCUUGAGUAGACUUAUACAUGGCAAACACUCUGGAUUUUGCUAGAUGGUGGCAAUUUCCGUCGGUAAGCAAUUAGGCCUUGUUUGGAUGUUGCUGUAUUCACUUUAAUCCAUGUGUGUUGUUGUGGAUUGGGGUGAAAUUUAGUUCAAGUUCUACUCCAAUCCACCUCAACACAUGUGGAUUGAUGUGAAUAUGACUACAUCCAAACAAGACCUUAAGUGUAUUCUUUCUAUGAUUCUGUGUA
rnacentral:lncRNA from 1 species